rnacentral:rRNA from 1 species
GACGAACGCUGGCGGCGUGCCUAAUACAUGCAAGUUGAGCGCUGAAGGUUGGUACUUGUACCAACUGGAUGAGCAGCGAACGGGUGAGUAACGCGUGGGGAAUCUGCCUUUGAGCGGGGGACAACAUUUGGAAACGAAUGCUAAUACCGCAUAAAAACUUUAAACACAAGUUUUAAGUUUGAAAGAUGCAAUUGCAUCACUCAAAGAUGAUCCCGCGUUGUAUUAGCUAGUUGGUGAGGUAAAGGCUCACCAAGGCGAUGAUACAUAGCCGACCUGAGAGGGGGAUCGGCCACAUUGGGACUGGGCCCCGGCCCAACCCCCUACGGGGGGCAGCAGUGGGGAAUUUUCGGCAAUGGACGAAAGUCUGACCGGGCAACGCCGGGGGAGUGAAGAAGGUUUUCGGAUCGUAAAACUCUGUUGGUAGGGAAGAACGUUGGGGGGGGUGGAAAGCCAAUCAAGUGACGGUAACCACCCAGAAAGGGACGGCUAACUACGU